rnacentral:lncRNA from 1 species
ACUACCGACUUCCUCUGUCCAAGAGUUGAAACCGGGUCCCCACGGAACGGACCUAAGGGUCUCCAGGCAAAGUGGGUUGUUUCCAUUGUGGAAACUACAGCUUUGAAAAUAAAUGAGUCUGUUUGCUGACAGGUUUAAUCUAGCUUCACCUUAACCCUUCCCUGCCUCGUUGACUGUUUAUUCGUUUUUUCGAGUGAUUUGGAGACUUCACUUAAUUAGUGCAACAUUGCCAACAUCGCGACACACCGAGGAGCUGAUGCGAGCACGUUGCUGUGACGUGGGAAAAAUAAGAGAAGGGAAAACUGUCAUUAGCUUAGCAUGCUCCAUUUCCCUCCCAAAAUAGAUUCUUACCGUAAAAUUUAAAUUGAAAGAGAAGGCUGAUGUGUGAUUCCUUCCCUCCCUCCCCCCACCCAAAUAAAGCCAUGGCCAGGCAGCUUCUCGGAAACCAGUGUGUUUAUGUAUUUACUAAUCAUAAAGAUAAUAUGCAAAAAGAGAAAAAUCUCUAAAUCCAGCCUUACUUCCCA